rnacentral:lncRNA from 1 species
UCCACAUCUUAAACAUGCACACACUCAAACACACAUACACAAAGAAUGACAAAGUAUCCCUCACAUUCUAGGAAGGAAAAUGUGGAAAAUGUAUGAAAUAAGAUAUGCAAAAAUAUUAUGUAAAACAAAUUUAUAAGCAGUGAGACUCCACAGAAGGGUAUUUUGUAUGCCAUUUUUAUUAUGGGCCAAAUGGAAAGAAACAGUACUGAAAAGUAAAAAAAAAAUAAAAAAUAAAAGAAAUAAUAAAUGCAGAUGAAGCCUAUGGUAUUCAUUCUGAUUAAUCAUGAAUAGAAAUAAUAUAUUACAUAGUUACUCUAUACAACCACCAACACUUUAAUAUUCUGUGUGGGGUUUUUAAGGAUUUCAGUGAUGAAGGGAAGACAGCAACGCUAAGAGGACAAAGAGCACUCAGCUGAAUCUAGAGAAUGUUUUGCUGAAGUUGCAUGCAUUGUCAGAGCAACACCUUCACUCAUAGGCUGCAGCAUAGAAUCUGUAAUGAGCUUCAUCUA